UGAAGUGGCCUGGUAAAAUUUGCUAGCUAGAUAGCUAGCUAGAUAGAUGGAUAGGUUAUUCCAAGUGAGUUGCGUUCGCUGCAUGCCACCAUCCACCAUUCAUAGCUCCAAGGUUAUCUUGUUAGUCAGGGCACACAAAAAUUUAGCCGUACAUCAAUUUACCACUGUUUUAUUUGUAACAUGCAAAUAUCCAAAGUACAUGGACAGAAGAACGCAUGCGUGACAUUGCCAGGGAUCAAGUCAUCCAACCAGCUCAGUUCUCUCUUAGUGAAGAUUAAGUCUAGGAGCUUACGGAUGAAGACGAGUGCCAAGACCUUGAGUAACAAAAACACACAAUGCGAAUGGGAUGUAAAAUUUGUGAUAACCAUUUUUUAAUCUUCAUCCACAAUGCCGUAUAUCUUAAAUAUUAUGGUCAAUCAUUUGCAGUCUAUUUUAGGCUAUAUGACGACUUUUUUCUUACCAUCAUUGGGAAAACUAUGGCAGCCUUGGAGGUCUUUAUAACCCACAGCAGCACCAAACAGCUGAGUUGGACGAUGGUGAAGAGGUGCACUUUCCUCAGAGGAACGUGGCGGAGGUAAAUGAAGUCAGGCUGGUGUUUGGCUGGCAUCCCAAACAACUUUAGACGGUCAAAGAACUGCCAAGAGAGGCUCUGAGGAUGCUGAAGCCUAUCCAAGCUAACUAUUGGCAGGAAGGGGUGUACACCCUGAGCUGGUUGCCAAUUACUGUACGCCUACUACGCACUAGAUUUUAACAAUGGUUGGAUGAAACUCACUUUAAACUUGUUGGGAACCUGUAACUUUGGUGAAGGGAUACCCAGAGCGUAGUCAACAAGAACCAUAGUGAGGAUGGUAAUGAAGACUGCGAAAUCACUUAUGAUGGCCCGCACCUGAAAACAAAAAAUGUACAAUAUCCUCUUUUAGAUAAAAACUGCAUAGUUUAUAUGGUAGCGAGACCACUUAAGAGGUUAUGCUGGUACUGGCCUUGGUAGGAAAGUAACGCCUUGUCUUGAACUCUUUGAGGAAUGCAGACAUAAAGACGGUAGAGAAGAAGAGGACCACACACCAGAAUAGGACAUCAGGAAUGUAAGGGCCGUGGGGGCCACAGGCGCUGCCCUUGAACUCUCCGUGGAGCUCUUCGCACUCCUACUGGCACCACAGGACCCGAUGAGGAUGAUAGUGGGGCAAUGAUGGCAUGGCAAUGAUUUUUGUCAAUCUUGCAUAUGAAAAUUGUAUGUACCUAUUUAUUUUCAAUACACAUUUUUAUGACAGGCACCCGAAGGACUGGAAUGUUUCUCUCUCGGGAUUGACACAAUUAAAAGAAACUCUGCGGUAGUCGCAGCACUGACAGUUGUCUUUUUUUUUUUUAAAAGAACAGUAUAUGGCUAAAUAAAACUGGGAUUUUUCUGUUAAACCCCACCAGUGGGUUUAAAGAUUAUUUACCUUUACUUCCAACAUCGUCCAGUUGACCUCAGAGACUGUGAUGUUCCUCUCCUCCCAGAAAAGUAGAGUCCCAUUGCUAGGAUUCCUGGGCUCCAUACAAAUGCACCUAUAGAAUGCGAGGUUGUCUAUUAUUAUUUAUACAGGAAUCAAAAUUCAUAGGUGUCGUAUUUAGAAAACAAUCCCUAAUUUUGGGGAUAGGUAAAGUAUUAAAACUGUUUUGGCAACUUGCAAACAGGGUUUCUCCUUGCUUAUGAGGGCAACAAGUUUAUAGGACACUUACGAAUACUGUGUUAGU